rnacentral:rRNA from 1 species
CUCCUACGGGAGGCAGCAGUGGGGGAUAUUGCACAAUGGGGGAACCCUGAUGCAGCAACGCCGCGUGAAGGAAGACGGUUUUCGGAUUGUAAACUUCUGUUCUUAGUGAAGAAUAAUGACGGUAGCUAAGGGAGCAAGCCACGGCUAACUACGUGCCAGCAGCCGCGGUAAUACGUAGGUGGCAAGCGUUGUCCGGAAUUACUGGGUGUAAAGGGAGCGUAGGCGGGAUGCCAAGUCAGCUGUGAAAACUAUGGGCUUAACCUGUAGACUGCAGUUGAAACUGGUAUUCUUGAGUGAAGUAGAGGUUGGCGGAAUUCCGAGUGUAGCGGUGAAAUGCGUAGAUAUUCGGAGGAACACCGGUGGCGAAGGCGGCCAACUGGGCUUUAACUGACGCUGAGGCUCGAAAGUGUGGGGAGCAAACAGGAUUAGAUACCCUGGUAGUCCACACUGUAAACGAUGAUAACUAGGUGUGGGGGGUCUGACCCCUUCCGUGCCGCAGCUAACGCAAUAAGUUAUCCACCUGGGGAGUACGACCGCAAGGUUGAAACUCAAAGGAAUUGACGGGGACCCGCACAAGCAGUGGAUUAUGUGGUUUAAUUCGAAGCAACGCGAAGAACCUUACCAGCACUUGACAUCCGACUAACGAAGUAGAGAUACAUUAGGUGCCCUUCGGGGAAAGUCGAGACAGGUGGUGCAUGGUUGUCGUCAGCUCGUGUCGUGAGAUGUUGGGUUAAGUCCCGCAACGAGCGCAACCCCUGCCAUUAGUUGCUACGCAAGAGCACUCUAAUGGGACCGCUACCGACAAGGUGGAGGAAGGUGGGGACGACGUCAAAUCAUCAUGCCCCUUAUGUGCUGGGCUACACACGUAAUACAAUGGCCAUCAACAAAGAGAAGCAAUACCGCGAGGUGGAGCAAAACUUCAAAAAUGGUCUCAGUUCGGACUGCAGGCUGCAACCCGCCUGCACGAAGUUGGAAUUGCUAGUAAUCGUGGAUCAGCAUGCCACGGUGAAUACGUUCCCGGGCCUUGUACACACCGC